rnacentral:rRNA from 1 species
AGAGUUUGAUCCUGGCUCAGGACGAACGCUGGCGGCGUGCCUAAUACAUGCAAGUCGAACGCAAAACUUUUAACUGAUGCUUGCAUCGACUUAAAGUUUUGAGUGGCGGACGGGUGAGUAACACGUGGGUAACCUGCCCAUCAGAGGGGGACAACACUUGGAAACAGGUGCUAAUACCGCAUAAUACAGAGAACCGCAUGGUUCUUUGUUGAAAGGCGCUUCUGGUGUCGCUGAUGGAUGGACCCGCGGUGCAUUAGCUAGACGGUGAGGUAACGGCUCACCGUGGCAAUGAUGCAUGGCCGACCUGAGAGGGUGAUCGGCCACAUUGGGACUGAGACACGGCCCAAACUCCUACGGGAGGCAGCAGUAGGGAAUCUUCGGCAAUGGACGAAAGUCUGACCGAGCAACGCCGCGUGAGUGAAGAAGGUUUUCGGAUCGUAAAACUCUGUUGUUAGAGAAGAACAGGAGCGAUAGUAACUGCUCGCUCUUUGACGGUAUCUAACCAGAAAGCCACGGCUAACUACGUGCCAGCAGCCGCGGUAAUACGUAGGUGGCAAGCGUUGUCCGGAUUUAUUGGGCGUAAAGCGAGCGCAGGCGGUUUAAUAAGUCUGAAGUUAAAGGCAGUGGCUUAACCAUUGUUCGCUUUGGAAACUGUUAGACUUGAGUGCAGAAGGGGAGAGUGGAAUUCCAUGUGUAGCGGUGAAAUGCGUAGAUAUAUGGAGGAACACCGGUGGCGAAAGCGGCUCUCUGGUCUGUAACUGACGCUGAGGCUCGAAAGCGUGGGGAGCAAACAGGAUUAGAUACCCUGGUAGUCCACGCCGUAAACGAUGAGUGCUAAGUGUUGGAGGGUUUCCGCCCUUCAGUGCUGCAGCUAACGCAUUAAGCACUCCGCCUGGGGAGUACGACCGCAAGGUUGAAACUCAAAGGAAUUGACGG